CCACCACAGACAUGACUAGAACACAAGGUAACAACAGCAUCACCACCACAGACAUGACUAGAACACAAGGUAACAACAGCAUCACCAUCACAGACAUGACUAGAACACAAGGUAACAACAGCAUCACCACCACAGACAUGACUAGAACACAAGGUAACAACAAGAUCACCACCACAGACAUGACUAGAACACAAGGUAACAACAGCAUCACCAUCACAGACAUGACUAGAACACAAGGUAACAACAGCAUCACCACCACAGACAUGACUAGAACACAAGGUAACAACAAGAUCACCACCACAGACAUGACUAGAACCCAAGGUACCAACAGCAUCACCACCACAGACAUGACUAGAACACAAGGUAACAACAGCAUCACCACCACAGACAUGACUAGAACACAAGGUAACAACAGCAUCACCACCACAGACAUGACUAGAACACAAGGUAACAACAAGAUCACCACCACAGACAUGACUAGAACACAAGGUAACAACAGCAUCACCACCACAGACAUGACUAGAACACAAGGUAACAACAGCAUCACCACCACAGACAUGACUAGAACACAAGGUAACAACAGCAUCACCACCACAGACAUGACUAGAACACAAGGUAACGACAUCAUCACCACAGACAGGGCUAGAACACAAGGUAACGACAUCAUCACCACAGACAGGGCUAGAACACAAGGUAACAACAUCACCACUACCACAGACAUGACUGGAACAAAAGGUAACAACAGCAUCACCACCACAGACAUGACUAGAACACAAGUUAACAACAACAUCACCACCACAGACAUGACUGGAACACAAGGUAACAACAUCACCACUACCACAGACAUGACUGGAACACAAGGUAACACUACACUAAUACACCACUACACUACUACACCACUCCACGUGCACACACAUGAUUUAUAUGUUGUGUUCGAGUUACCAAUCCAGACACAACAACCCAAGACUCCACCAACCAAACCCUCAACACAACAACCCAGGACUCCACCAACCAAGCCCUCAACACAACAACCCAAGACUCCACCUACCAAGCCCUCAACACAACAACCCAAGACUCCACCUCCCAAGCCCUCA
ensembl:lncRNA